UACCCUCCUCGGUGCUCCCCUUGCUCCUGUGGCGUGCGGGAAAAAGGCAACUUAACACCAGCAUCGUCCGAGGCAGCAGCAACGGACGACUCCACAAGAUCAAGGUAUGAAUUUUCAACAGGCACAGGGCCUUGCUGCAUCCAUACCUCCUGAAGUUCUGAUCCACCCCAACGUAUGUACCUAGAGCUGCAGGUUUUCGUGUCUUCUUUAUCAACAACUCACAGCAGCCAACAACUUCCAUUUACAUCAAAGCAACAGUGCCCAGCGCCACUUCAGUGCGGCAGCAAUGGCAUUGGCGUCCUGAGUGGUGGCUGCAAUGGGCAUACUGAGCCCAAACUACCUCACCGAUAGCCAACAGCUGCUGACAUUUUUAAUGGAACCAACCUCUCCACACCUCCAGCAUGGGACACCAAAUACUUCACUCGGAGAUUUAUCAACUGCGAUGAAGCAAACAUCUACAGGUCUUCCAGGCUGCAAGAAUUCGAAACAACACAGCGCAUGUACUAGCUAAUCAAGCUUAUCACUACACAUCUAUGUACACUCAGCAUACGAGGGCUUCUUGCUCCAAUCAGGCUCAUGUAAACAGCUGUCCCUUGGCCUCGUUUGGUUGCACCGGGAUCAGAGAGGGCUGAGGGGAUUAAAUCAUUUCCUUAAUUUUGAAUAGGAAAUGAUUUCAUCCCCUAUAAUCACCUUCAAUCCCUGCCAAACCGAAUAAACCAUAAGAUUUUGUUUGGAUACUCUCGUAUUUAUCUCAAUCUAUGUGUAUUGAAG
rnacentral:lncRNA from 1 species